CCUACGGGAGGCAGCAGUGAGGAAUAUUGGACAAUGGAUGGAAAUCUGAUCCAGCCAUGCCGCGUGCAGGAAGACGGCCCUAUGGGUUGUAAACUGCUUUUGUAUGGGAGCAAUAAGGUCUAUGCGUAGACUGAUGAGAGUACCAUACGAAUAAGCAUCGGCUAACUCCGUGCCAGCAGCCGCGGUAAU
rnacentral:rRNA from 1 species